AUUGAACGCUGGCGGCGUGCUUAACACAUGCAAGUCGAUCGGUAACAGGUGUAGCAAUACAUGCUGACGAGAGGCGGACGGGUUAGUAAUGCUUGGGAAUCUGCCUAUUAGUGGGGGACGAACCCGGGAAACGUCGGGCGUAAUACCGCAUACGCUCUACGGAGGAAAGCCGGGGACCGGCAAGGCCUGGCGCUAAUAGAUGAGCCCAACGUCGGAUUAGCUAGUUGGUAGGGUAACGGCCUACCAAGGCGACAAUCCGUAGCUGGUCUGAGAGGACGACCAGCCACACCGGAACUGAGACACGGUCCGGACUCCUACCGGGAGGGC
rnacentral:rRNA from 1 species